GACGAACGCUGGCGGCGUGCUUAACACAUGCAAGUCGAACGGAAAGGCCCUGCUUUUGUGGGGUGCUCGAGUGGCGAACGGGUGAGUAACACGUGAGUAACCUUCCCUGGACUUUGGGAUAACUUCAGGAAACUGGGGCUAAUACCGGAUAGGAGCUCCUGCUGCAUGGGGGGGGUUGGACAGUUUAGGCGGUUGGGGAUGGACUCGCGGCUAAUGAGCUUGUUGGUGGGGUAGUUGCUUACCAAGGCUUUGACGGGUGGCCGGCCUGAGAGGGUGACCGGGGACAUGGGGACUGAGAUACGGACCAGACUCGUACGGGAGGCAGCAGUGGGGAAUAUUGCACAAUGGGCGGAAGCGUGAUGCAGCAACGCCGCGUGCGGGAUGACGGCCUUCGGGUUGUAAACCGCUUUCGGCUGUGACGAAGCGUGAGUGACGGUAAUGGGUAAAGAAGCACCGGCUAACUACGUG
rnacentral:rRNA from 1 species